rnacentral:rRNA from 1 species
UUCCAUCUGGAAGAAUCUGGAGACAGGUGCUGCAUGGCUGUCGUCAGCUCGUGUCGUGAGAUGUUGGGUUAAGUCCCGCAACGAGCGCAACCCUUGCCUUUAGUUGCCAGCAGUUCGGCUGGGCACUCUAAAGGGACUGCCGGUGUUAAACCGGAGGAAGGUGGGGAUGACGUCAAGUCCUCAUGGCCUUUAUGACCAGGGCUACACACGUACUACAAUGGCCGAUACAAAGGGCAGCGACACUGCGAGGUGAAGCCAAUCCCGUAAAAUCGGUCUCAGUCCGGAUUGGAGUCUGCAACUCGACUCCAUGAAGUUGGAAUCGCUAGUAAUCGUGGAUCAGCCAUGGCGCGGUGAAUACGUUCCCGGGCCUU